AACGAACGCUGGCGGCAGGCCUAAUACAUGCAAGUCGAGCGAGGACUCCGGGCGUUUGCGCGGACGGGGGUGGAAGGCGACGGAACGUUCCCUUGGGGUUGGCAUACCUCUGGGAAACGGGGAAUUAUACCGGAUGGGCCCUUUUGCGGGAAGAUUUAUCGACGAAGGAUCGGACCUCGUUGGAUUAGGUAGUGGGUUGGGUAAUGGCCUACCAAGCCGACGAUCCAUAGCUGGUUAGAGUGGAUGAUUAGCCACACUGGGACUGAGACACGGCCCAGACGCCUACGGGAGGCAGCAGUGGGGAAUCGUAGAAACUGGGGGAAACCCUGGUAUAGCCAUGCCGCGUAAAACACGAAUGUCUUAGGGUUGUAAAGCUCUAUCUGCCGGGAAGCUUAUGACCGUACCCGAAGCAGAAGCCCCCGCUAACUCCGUG
rnacentral:rRNA from 1 species